AUACGUAGGGGGCAAGCGUUAUCCGGAUUUACUGGGUGUAAAGGGAGCGCAGACGGCGAUGCAAGUCUGAAGUGAAAUGCCGCAGCUCAACUGCGGAAUUGCUUUGGAAACUGUGUGGCUAGAGUAUCGGAGGGGUAAGCGGAAUUCCUAGUGUAGCGGUGAAAUGCGUAGAUAUUAGGAAGAAAACAGGUGGCGAAGGCGGCUUACUGGACGAUAACUGACGUUGAGGCUCGAAAGCGUGGGGAGCAAACAGGAUUAGAUCCCCUGGUAGUCCACGCCGUAAACGAUGAAUACUAGGUGUCGGCAUCUAAGAGAUGUCGAUGCCGCCGCUAACGCAUUAAGUAUUCCACCUGGGGAGUACGUUCGCAAGAAUGAAACUCAAAUGAAUUGACGGGG
rnacentral:rRNA from 1 species